CGACCGGCGCACGGGUGAGUAACGCGUAUCCAACCUUCCCAUUACUGUGGGAUAACCUGCCGAAAGGCAGACUAAUACCGCAUAGUCUUCGAUGACGGCAUCAGAUUUGAAGUAAAGAUUUAUCGGUAAUGGAUGGGGAUGCGUCUGAUUAGCUUGUUGGCGGGGUAACGGCCCACCAAGGCGACGAUCAGUAGGGGUUCUGAGAGGAAGGUCCCCCCACAUUGGAACUGAGACACGGUCCAAACUCCUACGGGAGGCAGCAGCC
rnacentral:rRNA from 1 species